CCUACGGGAGGCAGCAGUGAGGAAUAUUGGUCAAUGGACGCAAGUCUGAACCAGCCAUGCCGCGUGCAGGAAGACGGCUCUAUGAGUUGUAAACUGCUUUUGUACGAGGGUAAACGCAGGUACGCGUAUCUGUCUGAAAGUAUCGUACGAAUAAGGAUCGGCUAACUCCGUGCCAGCAGCCGCGGUAAUACGGAGGAUUCAAGCGUUAUCCGGAUUUAUUGGGUUUAAAGGGUGCGUAGGCGGUCGGAUAAGUUAGAGGUGAAAGCCCGAGGCUCAACUUCGGAAUUGCCUGUGAUACUGGUCGGCUAGAGAGUAGUUGCGGUAGGCGGAAUGUAUGGUGUAGCGGUGAAAUGCUUAGAGAUCAUACAGAACACCGAUUGCGAAGGCAGCUUACCAAGCUACUUCUGACGUUGAGGCACGAAAGCGUGGGGAGCAAACAGGAUUAGAUACCCGGGUAGUC
rnacentral:rRNA from 1 species